CGACUAAUGUUGAAAAAUUAGCGGAUGACUUGUGGCUGGGGGUGAAAGGCCAAUCAAACCGGGAGAUAGCUGGUUCUCCCCGAAAGCUAUUUAGGUAGCGCCUCGUGAAUUCAUCUCCGGGGGUAGAGCACUGUUUCGGCAAGGGGGUCAUCCCGACUUACCAACCCGAUGCAAACUGCGAAUACCGGAGAAUGUUAUCACGGGAGACACACGGCGGGUGCUAACGUCCGUCGUGAAGAGGGAAACAACCCAGACCGCCAGCUAAGGUCCCAAAGUCAUGGUUAAGUGGGAAACGAUGUGGGAAGGCCCAGACAGCCAGGAUGUUGGCUUAGAAGCAGCCAUCAUUUAAAGAAAGCGUAAUAGCUCACUGGUCGAGUCGGCCUGCGCGGAAGAUGUAACGGGGCUAAACCAUG
rnacentral:rRNA from 1 species